UUCUCACUGUUUUAGUUCUUGUAUGAUGAUUAUUGGUGAUUAAUUGAUCUGCAGGCACCUUACCCACCUUUACGAAUCAUCAUCGUCUUCAUGGCAGAUGCCGAGAUCAAACUAAAAAAAGAUCCCGAGCAUAUAAUUAUCUAUUUCGACAAUUCUAAAGUGGUUCCCUAUGGCUCUGCCAAAUUUCGAGAUCAAUGUGAGGCUACUGAAUUUUAUUGCAAACUUAAAUUUGCGGAAAAUGAAAAUACUCUUGUGAACUUAUAUACAAUGAGUACACAUUAUUCCAGACAUGUGAUUCAUCCUCCCACCGGCUCUAUUGAUGAAAUCGUUGAUAAGCUCAAACUUAGGGCUUCUUUUUAAUUCUUUGUUAGCGAUAUAUUACAUGUAUGAUAUUUUUUUUCUAUUCAAUUACUAAACAGGACCAUGCUUGUUUCCGCAGAUCUAUAUGCCUGCGGUGGCUAGGUGGACCUUAUAAGCGCGCUCUCAUUUGGCGCGAUUCCUUUUUUAGAAAAAAAUAGGAAACAACGGAUGGUUGUUUUUGUUGGAGGAGAUACAAAUAUGGGUAGUUUAUUCGCGAUGAAAAUUGGAAAGCAUUAUAGAGAAAAGGGUAUAGCUAUUGAUGUUGUUGGUAUAUGGAGAAGGGUAUAGCUAUUGGUGAAGAAACCUCCAUACGUAACACAGCUACAUACAAAUAUUAUGGAAGAAGCGAGCUUCAAUUGCUCGUGAAAUUAAGUCUGCAAUGGUGAUAACAAUUUGAAUAAGCACUUUGUAGACGUUGGACCUACACGUUCUAUUCAUGCUGUCCUAUCCGAUUUCAUGAAAAAACUCUCAGAGGAUGAGAAUGUUGAAUCAAGUGCUGCACGCCAGCACACCGCCGUUUGGAAGGUGGGGCUUGUCCUAAAUUACAUGCAAAAACUCUUGGAAAAUAUGAAUGUUGAUGGUAUAUGGAGAGUUUAGAGGAGAAUAUGGUCAGCACACAACCCUUUGGAGAAGGGGAAGACUGGUCAGCACACCACCCUUAGGAGAAGGGGAAGGCUGGAGAGGCCUCAUACAUGCUGCCUGAUUGCUACCCUUUUUUUGGUUGAAAUGCAUUGUUAAUGAUGGGUACGCUGCUGAGUUGUUUAUGUUUGUGUGUACGCUGCUGAGUUAUUUAUGUUUGUCUGUUCAACAGAUCAUCAUGAAUCAGAUCAUAACAUGAAUCAAUCGCUCAGUUUUGUUUGUCA